rnacentral:rRNA from 1 species
GAUUUCUGGUAGUACGCACCUGGCCCGCCUCUUACGAGCGUGUGUGUCGGAGCGCGUCUGCCAUCCUCUCAGGGAACGUGCCUACCCUUCAAUGGGCAGGGUUCGCGAACUGGGUCGUUUACUUUGAAAAAAUUAGAGUGUUUAAAGCAGGUGAUUGCCGUGAAUACAUUAGCAUGGAAUAAUAACUUAGGACUUCGGUUCUAUUUUGUUGGUUUUGUAGUACUGAAGUAAUGAUUGAUAGGGAUAGUUGGGGGUGCUAGUAUUGAGCGGCCAGAGGUGAAAUUCUUGGAUUCGCUCAAGACUGACUUAUGCGAAAGCAUU